CCUACGGGAGGCAGCAGUGGGGAAUAUUGGGCAAUGGGCGCAAGCCUGACCCAGCAACGCCGCGUGAAGGAAGAAGGCUUUCGGGUUGUAAACUUCUUUUCUCAGGGACGAAGAAAGUGACGGUACCUGAGGAAUAAGCCACGGCUAACUACGUGCCAGCAGCGGCGGUAAUACGUAGGUGGCAAGCGUUAUCCGGAUUUAUUGGGUGUAAAGGGCGUGUAGGCGGGAGGGCAAGUCAGAUGUGAAAACUCAGGGCUCAACCCGGAGCCUGCUUUUGAAACUGGGUUUCUUGAGUGCUGGGGAGGCAAUCGGAAUUCCGAGUGUAGCGGUGAAAUGCGUAGAUAUACGGAGGAACACCAGUGGCGAAGGCGGAUUGCUGGACAGUAACUGACGCUGAGGCGCGAAGGCGUGGGGAGCAAACAGGAUUAGAUACCCGUGUAGUC
rnacentral:rRNA from 1 species